rfam:Ophiocordyceps sinensis CO18 unplaced genomic scaffold OCS_Scf_6463, whole genome shotgun sequence.
AGGGUUAUAGCUUAAUUGGUAAAGCAUACUGCUCAUAACAGUAAAAAUAAGUGUUCGAUUCACUUUAGCCCUA